CCUACGGGAGGCAGCAGUGGGGAAUAUUGCACAAUGGGGGAAACCCUGAUGCAGCCAUGCCGCGUGUGUGAAGAAGGCCUUCGGGUUGUAAAGCACUUUCAGUUGUGAGGAAAGUUUAGUAGUUAAUACCUGCUAGAUGUGACGUUAGCAACAGAAGAAGCACCGGCUAACUCCGUGCCAGCAGCCGCGGUAAUACGGAGGGUGCGAGCGUUAAUCGGAAUUACUGGGCGUAAAGCGCACGCAGGCGGUCUGUUAAGCUAGAUGUGAAAGCCCCGCGCUCAACGUGGGAGGGUCAUUUAGAACUGGCAGACUAGAGUCUUGGAGAGGGGAGUGGAAUUCCAGGUGUAGCGGUGAAAUGCGUAGAGAUCUGGAGGAACAUCAAUGGCGAAGGCAACUCCCUGGCCAAAGACUGACGCUCAUGUGCGAAAGUGUGGGUAGCGAACAGGAUUAGAUACCCUGGUAGUCCACACCGUAAACGCUGUCUACUAGCUGUUUGUGAAUUUAAUUCGUGAGUAGCGAAGCUAACGCGAUAAGUAGACCGCCUGGGGAGUACGGCCGCAAGGUUAAAACUCAAAUGAAUUGACGG
rnacentral:rRNA from 2 species